UGCAGCAGCGUGGUUUGACGAGAGAUUUCCGUGGCGCCACCCAAAGUCCCCUCUUUCCUCUCCCCAAUCUCUGUAGCCGCCACACCGGUCCUCCUCCAUCCUCUCUCCCUCCCUCCCUCGUCAGCCACGAGACCCACCGCCUCCUUCCUCUCCGCCGUGAAGUUUCGUUCUCUUGUCCUCCGGAGCUCCUCUCAUGUCGUCAUGCUCGCGCAAAGCACCGCGUCCACCCAACCAUCUUUGCUGCGCAAGGCGGCCGGAGGACGAACAACGGCGGUCCGAGCUCCGCUGCCUCCAUCCAUGUCUCAUCCUCCUCUUGCGCGCCGGCCGACCGGAGGCUGCCUCCUGGUGGGUGGUAGGUGCGAGCGAUGACGCUGGAGGCCAGAUCUGGAAGCUUAGCUAAUGCAGCACCGUGACAACUUCGAUGCGAGCACUAGGUGUUUGUUUAAAUGCUCAAGGAGGACUGUUCAGGGGAGGACGACAGCUUUCAGGUGGAGCACCGUAUGUUCUCUUAUCAGUACGAGAUGCCAAAUGUUAGUUAAGUUCAUGAUUUGUGCCUUUUGUUCUCACAUAAGUGCCAUUAAUUUAUUAUGAUUCCUGGAGCUAGCUUGUACACAUGGACAUAGGAUUGAGAUUUGCCUACUGUAAGAGUAUGACCAUACAUGAUUUAGGACAUGCAUUUAGCAGAGCAGCAUGGUUAAAGAAACAGUCAGAUUAGCAUGCUACUUCAUAACUAAUAUUUUCUAGGAACAAUCAACUCAUGUCAUGCAAAACAGUACACACAUGCAUGCAAUUUGAUCUAUGUACACAAGUUGCUGGUUAACACAGAGUACAUAAGUGGUUAAAGAGCUACCAACAGAGCAUGCGAUUCAUGUUAAUUAACUGAACAAUGCUCGUGCAGCUCUGAAGCUAAGUUUUGGGAGAUUGUGAGGUCUAGGAGAAUCCGGACAGGGAAUAUGCACACCACCACUCUACUCUACUAGAAUCAUACAAUUUGGACUGCAUGCCUUAAUUAGUUAUGAUGGAAUUAAGGAAGUGUGUUUGUGCGAGCAAUAGGUAACAUGUCAAGCGAGGGUGUAAUAGAGAAUAUGAAGCAGGAGCUGGUCAUGCUGCUGCUCAAGGAGGAAGAGGAGGUGAAGGCGACACAGAGGAGCUUGCCAUAGCUGCUUGCCAGCUCCGGGAAUUCCUCCUUCCAGAAGCACAACGCCAUGUCCUAGAGUGUUCUUAAUAUGGUGGGUGAUUGAAGCGAAAGCAUGAGGAGCAGUUCAAAGGGCGGAUGGAGCAUGUGACUUGUGUGGAAAUAACAAAUUUUCUUUUAGAUGAUUUGAGUGUAUGCUGAUGCGUGAAAGUCAAUCAUUUGGAUUCCCAACUAGCCUAUUGUGUGUGUUCAAUAUUUUGUUGCGCAUUGACAAAAUGUUUUCAGUGCCCGAGUGCGCAAGUUGAAUUUUGAAACAUAUGAGAGGAUAACCCUGCAAAAGGGAAUUUGCCCUUUAUGAAGGUUCGGGCUUGCUGUUGUAAUUAAAAGUAGGAGAUUUAUAUAUACCUAUAAUAGAAUAAUUCCUCAA